UUUUCACAUAACCGUACUUUUAUGCGGACGAAACGCUCGGCUAACCGACUCCGUGCUAUUGAAAUUAGACAUUUUUAUUGUGGUAUGAUGAAACGUGAUGCCGACAGUUACAGCGCAAUUUCGAUUGUCCUCUCGCUCUCUCUCUCUCUGUACUGUUAUUGUAAUGAUUUACUUAUUCAUUCAAAUUACUUUUUCCCUAUUAUUUAUUUUAAGUAGAUUUCUGACUGAAUCAGCUGCGCAUCGGCACUGCUUUUUCUACGAUUCUGAUUGGUCCGCUGCGACAUUUUCUCUGUUCCCAAAUCUUACGACAGCUGUUGUUGAUCGCAACUGAAAUUCGUUCUUGAAAACUCGUACAUGAGAGAAAACAACAGCGAAGAAUGAUUUUUCUCAACAAAUUUUGCGAGGAGGAAUAUUCUGUUAAACCUUGAGAGAGGGACGAAGUUCAUUCGUUGAAAAAUAUCGAUUUUUCGGAAUGUUAUUCACGGAGGAUAAAAACUCGGACGCAGAACAUUUUAUUUGCUUGACCUUAAGCCUUAAGGCCACUUCUGACGCGAGCGACGCUUCGACUGGAGAAAAAAUGUUCAUCGUUCAUCGCGAUUUGGAUGGAAAUUGGAAUUGCCCGAUUUGCUGACAAUGAGUGAAUGUUCAACGGACGAUGAAGUACCAACUCCAUUUCUACGUGUGAAAAUCAACUUUAAGGACGAUCCUCACGAAAGAUUUGGCAAUUCCGUAAAUUCGUCCGAUUUCGUGAAAAUCCAUUGUCAAAGCGUCUGUUUCUUCGGGAGUUUGAGCAUCGACAGCGACAAAUGAGGAAUCGCACAGUCGGCGCGGUGAACGGAGGCCUUAGCAGCAACGCCCCUUUUAAAUGCAAAAAAAGAAAAAUAAUGAAAUGCGCGCGCAUUUCAUAUGAAUAAGCGAGCGUUUUUGCGUACACGCGAACGCCGGGACCUACAUAUUUCUUCUUCUGCGAGCUCGCGCGAGCUCGCGCGCGUACACCAGCAAGAGAGAAACGGAAUUAGAUAAGACUCGCCCACGAGCACGAUUGUCCCCGUUUUCAACCACACGACUCAUUGAUUUCUUCUUCGUGCCAAGUCCACGUCCUCAAGAGAAACUCGUUUUUCAUACGGCAAAGGAUGUCCAAGGGCGUCCACUUCGAUGCUAGACGUGCAUUCUGUGCUCGUUACAUAAAAACGUUCGUACACUCCUCGACAAGGUGGAUUUUAUUGUAGUUAUCACUGUAUUGCUUCGAGACGGAGUUUCGGAGGGGGGAGCGAGGGAGAAUAGAAACUAAGAAAUCGUUUCGCUUCCCUCGACAUACGACGAGAUUCUAAUACAGCGUUUUUGACGCUCUCGAUCGUACGUCACCGGCAUUACGAGGUAAUUGACGACUAUGCGGAAGUUUCAUCUUCAUUCGCGAUGCAAAUUAAUGAUGUUUUUCGUAUCAAGUAACACGCGAUCCGGGCUCUCCAAUUCCGGUGCAAAUAUUCCUUCGAAUCGCGAUACUAUACAAAGUUUCAUUGGUAUUUCGAUGAGUAGAAAUUGAGAGGAUGCAGGAGAUAAAACAUUGUGGCGAUCGUUACGAUUUAAACGAGUUUUUCUUCGUCUCUGCGCAAGGCCCACUCGCGGCUAUUCUUUUUUGGGAUGAACUUUGACAAUCCAACGAAAUAUUUCAUCGGAUUAUUCGAUCGAAACGGCUUACGGAGUGACGUUUUUUUCAAUUUUCUUAAAUACGUGAUAAAAACUUGUUUUUUCUUUAAAUUUCAUUAAUCGUAGCAGUUCUGAAAACACAUUGAGUCCUUUCACUUCCUUUGUGUAUAAAUAAACAUUCGCGCGUAUGCUCCGAUCGACCGAUUUAGUGUCGAUCUACCGGAGCGAGAGUGACGCAGGCCUGAAUAUUCGAAUCGAGCACGAAGACGGUUGUUCGUGAAUUUACUGUUUGAAAUAAAUCCAGGAAACGCGACUCGGUGCUGAGACGUUGAAUGCUCGUUUACAUUCACAAAUAACAAAUGGACCGAGUGGAUCUCGAGUCCCUCGCCGUGCCCCGGAGGCUGGGUGUGCAAUCAGCUGGAUCUUUGCCCUCGAAAUAUCUCCGGAAUCGUCCGGGAACUCGAAUUGCUUUAGAAUCUUACGAAGAGCCUGCGAUCUGAAGUAAUUUCGUUCCUAUUCCGGCGCGCUUAUAACUCGGGUGGGAAGAAAAAACGGGAAAAAACGUGGGCGAUAAGAGAAACGUAAAGCUUGAGAUUAGGCGCAGCAAGUUUAUCGAUCGCGAGAUCGAUUGCCGAUAGCUACUUGGGCUUGGGGAACAAAGAAAAAGAGCGAGAGAAACGAUCGCGGUCUCUUUACCGCGCUCGUUAAUCGUAUUCUGCGAAGGACUGAAACGUCGCGCGUGUUCGCCAACAGAGCACAGCGCAGAGAUACAUCAAAGAGCUCGAGAAUGUCUCACAGCUUUAUCCUCGAUCUGGCGAGGCUGCACCUCCUCGUGCUAACAAGAAAAGUAUGCACAAAAAAAUGUAAUGGGACGGGAGCGCGCGCAAAAUCGCGUCCUACAAAGACGCAACUUCUAUGACGAUUCGAUAUCUCACGCGGUCCGGACCGCGCAGCGGAGGAUAGCGACGCGAGGACACUUCUCUUCCUUUCAGACUCUCAUCAACGCCGGAGAACACGGGGAAUAGUUAAUCAGUGCAUAACUUCGUAGAGGCUCUUCCACGCGAAGUCGUUCUUGGGCAUUCUCAAAUAUCUCGGGGGAGACUGCUUCGACACUUUUUCGAGGUUCGGCGACUCGGAAACUCCGGCGAUUCUGUGGGCCCGCACCGAUAUUUUGAGGGAAUCUUUCGUAGCAAAAAACACUGACGAAAUGUUUUGAUUUACUCGCAUUGUUAUGCAACUGACAGCAAAAAGUGGUGUUGCGAAGAGAUUUUUUAGUAGGGAAUUGCACACGCGGGGGCAUUCGUUUUACGGCCGUUUCCUCGCGCUCCGACCGUUUCGGCAAUGCGCACGAAAAAGUGGCGCGUGACUCACAACUUUACAUAAAUUAAUAACCCUCCGCGGACGGAAGCCGAAUCGACAACGUUGCUGAACUUUUCGUCGCACGAAAUACGUUCCGAAGCUUUCGCAGAAUGGACAACUCGUAUUCAAUUAUUCCGAAUUGAAGCUCACGCGAAUGGCGAAACAAAAAUAAAAGUCGAUUCUUCAAAAAACCGAUUAAAAUUCGUCGCAAUUACAAAUUUAAAUGCAUUCAAUGGUCAAACAAAAUCAAGUCAAUUUCUCGAAAAAACAGUCGGUCAAAUUCGCCUAAACUUCGCAAUGCAAUGGUCACCUUCGGGGCCAAUGAAAAUUGGAGCUUUCAAAAAUAUUCAAUUCACCUCUAACAAGGUGCCAAAAGAGAAACGUAUUGUUGAGUCGUUUCCUUCGUAUUUUGCACAAAGUCAACGAAACAUCGAGCAACUGUUCUACUAGAACGUUUUUCUUCCGAUGCCUCAAUUUUCAAGCCACUCCGAAUCAAUCGAGCCGGAGAAAAGAAAUUGACGAGAAUUAAAACAGUUGUGAAGCUCCGCUGAAUCGUUGACCAGAGAAAAUACCCGAAAAUUCCUAAAAAGUACGAUCUUUGUGGUAAGAAAAUGACGAAUUCUUAAUACGUUGAGGCUUUCGGAAUGAAAACUCAACGUGAAAUGUCUCAUACAUAUAAUUUGUGUGUACUUCGAAAACACGUAUUAUAUAGGAGCGACGUGAGCAGGUGCGUCUUGAGCCAGCUGUAGUUGUGCGUCCAGCGAGGAAAAAAAAACGAGAAUGGGUUCUUAUUAUGCGGAGGAACUUGUCCAUAAGACAGCAGUGACAGCAGAUUGCAUCUACGUAUUAGACAUAAUACAAUAAUUCAUCGUGCCAGUUAGACUUCUCUCUCGGUCUUAGAUUCAGUCCCAGUUGCAUGUACGAUUUCUGCAUCUGCAUAAAAAAACAAUGAGAGAAGAAAAAAAACCGAUUGCAAAAUGAAAGCAAAACAAAACGUAUUUUUCGCUGCAUUCAUGAAUAUCAAGUCGGUUACAGAAGCAUUUUUUCUCUGCAUUAUCUGUGAUAUCAAGGGACUCGCUUUUCUGCUGUAUUUUUUUUAGUUCGAUAUUUCACUCGAUUUUCGAUGAUGCGCACGCAACGUUCAAUGGAACUGUUCACCUUCUUGGUGCGAAGCAGCGAAAAUAUAAAUCGAUGCAUCCGAUGUGUGACAUUCAUGGCGGCUUUUUGUGCGACGGGAACGAUCAAUUUCUUUUUUUUUCUUCACAGUCUCGGUUGAUGUCAUACGUGGCUUGAAAAAAAAGGGGACGGGAAUAAAGUAGAAAUCAUCCGAGACGGUGGCGAAGAAAAUAUCGGUUUUUUCAUUCUUCAUAGAAUACUGCAAGACUACGAGUCAUUAAUGUGAUUUAUUAAGAUUCUUGCAAGUGCAGACCGUUUUUUUACCGACCGCGAUCGGAGGAUUGUCCAUUGGAAGAAACUCUGUUCCCGCACCGUCGACGCGUGAACGACUUUUGAAAGUACCGGAAAUCGUUUUCCCGGCAACAUUAAAACACCCCACGAAAAUAUUCUUUCGUCCUUAUUAUAUACAGCGACGAUAGGCACUCACCGACUGAUUAACUCAGUCGGUAAGCUUCGAUCCCUCCGGCGUUGUCGUGGCUUUUUCAUUCCAUUUCUUUCGACUCUUCGUUGCUCCCUCCUCAUUGAACCUUCAUAGGAAAUAAAAACGAAAAUAAAAUGCAGCAAAAAAUAAUGACGAGUUGGUUACCGAUGGGACCGGCCCGUCGAUUAUUCAUUUCCGUGCCUCGGACGACGCCGUGAAACUUUAACGUCGGUAGAACAGUUUUGGGACGAAUUCGAGUCAGCGUGGAAGAAAAAAGCUUUCGCAGGGAUUCGUAUUUAUCGAUAUUAAUAUUUUCCUCGAGACGAAAAAUUUUACGUUUUCUCGGACGUUCCGUUGCGAAAAUUUUGAGGAAAAGCGGUGAAGAUGCAACCGCACAUUUCACAGCGUUAAAACUCACGAUCGUUUGCACAGCCAACGCAGUGAAUUGUCAACAUUUCUUUGAGCACUUCACACGAUUCAAAGCCGUAUAGAUGAGAAAUUUAUAUUCGCGGCAUGGUAAAAAUAAAACGAACGAACAUUCGGCGAUUUCGAGUUCGAUUAUAUUGUGGUUCGGUAACUGGGUAGCCGGUCCGACGAAAAAAGUUGUUGCGUCUGUCGGUCGAGCACGGAAAAAAACGAAUUCAGCCAAAAAACGAAUAACAGCUAAAAUUGUAUCGAACAAAGAGAAUUGCCCACUCGAUACUCGCUCGAAUCUAUAGUAAUAUCGAUGCAUUUUGAAAAAGCCGGUUAUUCAUGU